rnacentral:rRNA from 1 species
UACGGGGGGAGCAAGCGUUGUUCGGAUUUACUGGGCGUAAAGGGCGCGUAGGCGGUCAGCACAAGUCAGUUGUGAAAUCUCCGGGCUUAACUCGGAAAGGUCAACUGAUACUGUGCGACUAGAGUGCAGAAGGGGCAACUGGAAUUCUCGGUGUAGCGGUGAAACUGCGUAGAUAUCGAGAGGAACACCUGCGGCGAAGGCGGGUUGCUGGGCUGACACUGACGCUGAUGCGCGAAAGCCAGGGGAGCGAACGGG